GUGAGGAAUAUUGCGCAAUGGAGGCAACUCUGACGCAGCCAUGCCGCGUGCAGGAAGAAGGCGCUACGCGUUGUAAACUGCUUUUAACCGGGAAGAAACCCCAGGACGUGUCCUGGGUUGACGGUACCGGAGGAAUAAGCACCGGCUAACUUCGUGCCAGCAGCCGCGGUAAUACGAAGGGUGCAAGCGUUAUCCGGAUUCAUUGGGUUUAAAGGGUGCGUAGGCGGAGCGUUAAGUCAGUGGUGAAAUCCUGCAGCUUAACUGUAGACUUGCCAUUGAUACUGGCGCUCUUGAGUGCGCUUGAAGUGGGCGGAAUGUGCCGUGUAGCGGUGAAAUGCUUAGAGAUGGCACAGAACACCAAUUGCGAAGGCAGCUCACUAAGGCGAUACUGACGCUGAGGCACGAAAGCGUGGGGAUCGAACAGGAUUAGAAACCCCAGUAGUCC
rnacentral:rRNA from 1 species